rnacentral:rRNA from 1 species
UACAGAGGGUGCUAGCGUUGUUCGGAAUCACUGGGCGUAAAGGGCGUGUAGGCGGUGAGGUGUGUCCUUUGUGAAAUCCCUCGGCUUAACCGGGGAACUGCGCUUGAUACUGGAUGGCUUGAGAUUGGGAGAGGGAUGCGGAAUUCCAGGUGUAGCGGUGAAAUGCGUAGAUAUCUGGAGGAACACCGGUGGCGAAGGCGGCAUCCUGGACCAACACUGACGCUGAAUAGCGAAAGCCAGGGGAGCAAACGGG